rnacentral:lncRNA from 1 species
GGGGCUUCUUCUCCUUUGAGGAAUAAUGAAUUAGGGUUGAGAGGCUCCCUCCUCCAGGGGCCAGGGGGUCUGGUUUUAUAUUCCCUUCAAGUGAAUAUGGGCCGUUGGGUCAAACCGACUUAGAUUGAACGGUUAUCCUUGAUCCUUUAGGUCGGUGGAUGUUGAGACUUGCUAACAACACUUGAAUACUAGGUUGUCAUCCCCAGCAUGGCACUAGAGUGUACUAUGGUAUUUAUACGCACACAGAUAAUCCGCAAGCGCACGGAUACCGUUGAAGCUUUUACCCGGUUAAAGGUUUUAU